rnacentral:rRNA from 1 species
ACUCCUACGGGAGGCAGCAGUGGGGAAUAUUGCACAAUGGGCGCAAGCCUGAUGCAGCCAUGCCGCGUGUAUGAAGAAGGCCUUCGGGUUGUAAAGUACUUUCAGCAGUGAGGAAGGGCAGGUACGUUAAUAGCGUGCUUGUUUGACGUUAGCUGCAGAAGAAGCACCGGCUAACUCCGUGCCAGCAGCCGCGGUAAUACGGAGGGUGCGAGCGUUAAUCGGAAUUACUGGGCGUAAAGCGCAUGCAGGUGGUUUGUUAAGUCAGAUGUGAAAGCCCGGGGCUCAACCUCGGAAUUGCAUUUGAAACUGGCAGACUAGAGUACUGUAGGAGGGGGGUAGAA